rnacentral:lncRNA from 1 species
ACCCAUCCAUUAAUGGCUCAUGUGUUCUUAAGACAAACCCAGCAGGCUGUAUCUGUCCAGAGUGAAACCAGAGCUUCCGCCUGCAUGGAACAAGAACGAGAGAAAGGCCUAGAAGGAGACUGACCAAGGGCUGAUCCUGCUUAUCCAUGCUACUUAUCAGGAACUGUGGAACCAUGGAGAACAUGACCCUGGCCCUCCCUUCAGGAUCUGCCUGCCUCUUGAGACGCUAGAGCCCUGGAUUCAAUUGAGGAACAUUAUGUUGGAGAAUAUAAACACUUCUAGACUGUGCAGACAUUUGGGAAGGAAUAGUCUGUUUUGACUUGAAUGAACAAAGACAUACGUCUCUGGGCCUGGGGAAGGCUUACCAGCUCAGUUCAUCUACUGCCUGGUGGCAAACAUGUCCCCUGCUGCCCCUACCCAGGAUACGCUUCCUCACUCUGUCCCUGUCCAGUUACCGCACCCUUCCCUGUUUGACCCCGCCUCCUGUGCCCACUUGCCUCUGGACCCAGAGAUUCUUCUUGUUUGCUCUAUCAUCCUUGAGCUGGAUCCAGGGUGAAUAGUUAACCACACUUGGGUUGAAUGGGAUCUUGAUUCUUAUUUCUCUUCCUUGGAAAGAGGGGUCAGUCUCGGUGCGUGGCACCCGGCCUGGAAGCAGCACAAGACUCAGAGUGAUACAUGAUCUGCCUGGAUGGUCCCGUGGGCUCUUUGGAGGUCAGAGCCUGAGCAGGGGGGCUGAGGAGGGCCGGCACUGGAUCACACGCAGGCGUAUGUCUGGAUAGGCCGAGAGGAGCCCACUUUUCAUUCCCUCUUCUGUGACACAAAUGCCAGGAACUUUGAAAACUCUCUUCGGAGGUUGCAGUCGGAGAUCAGCUUGUCCAAGGGCUUCAUGUCUGAGCUCUGUUGGUCGUGCCUCCUGAGGACCUCUUUCCUCUACUGUAUGCUGAUGACACACCCAUCCGCUGGGAGCUGGAGCCUUGUCGGGUCCUUUCCUCUAGGACCCCGCUUGCGCAGUUGGAAAUCCUUCCUAAUCAUGCCUUGAUUCCCCCUUCUCAACUACACUCAAAGAUGUUUGAGCUGUUUUAUUUGCAAAAUGGAUGGACAGUUUGUUUCUAUAAAACAAUCCCAGCUUCCUUGUGCUCUAUCUGGUGUGUUUGUAUGGCUCUUCAGUGACUUUAAAGUGGAGCGUUGACCUUGGCCUCUUCGAUUCUCCAUGGUGGAAUAGAGAAGACCUCUUGAAGAUGCUUAAUGUUGCUGAGAUCUUAAGAAGGCUUGCAGACUUCCUUUUCCUUCCUCCUCCUUCCACCUCCUUCUUCCCUAAGCAGCCUCUGCAUUGUAUACAUUCCUUUAUAUAAAUUCCUCUG